GAAUACUUGUGAACAAUUCUAAACUCCUUUAUUUCUCUUUUCUCUUUCAGAUUCCACUAGUAUCCAUUGAGGACCCCAAAGGAAAUCGCAUCGCACAAUGGCAGAAGGUCAAGUUAGAGAGUGGCCUCAAGCAAUUGGCCUUUCCCCUCUCAUCAGAGCCAUUUCUGGGCUCCUAUAAGGUGCUGGUACAGGAAGAAUCAGGUGAAACGGCAGAGCACCCCUUCACCGUGGAGGAAUUUGUGCUUCCCAAGUUUGAAGUGAAAGUAACAGUGCCAAAGA